rnacentral:rRNA from 1 species
UGUUUUAAAAUAAUUAAGGAUUUAUUUUCACGAAACCAGUAUGAGCUACAUUUUCAAUUAUAUAUUAGUGAAAUUUAUUGGUGUUUCAAUACCAGUAUAAUAUGAAAAUAUAGGGGUGAUAGGCCAACCAAGUCUGGGUAUAUCUUGAUAAUAAGGAAAUAUAUUUAGUAUAAAAUACAACCUGAAAAUGGUAAGGUUUUUAGGUUACAUAAUUUUGGUUAAAUUAAUAGGUCCUAUUUUUAAAAUAUUGGAUUAUAGUAUUAUUAACAUAAAAAAUCAGAAGAAUAUGGAAAUUACUUUAUUCGUUUAAAUUAUUUAUAAAUUAAGUUGUUAAUGAAUACAUUAGUAUAUAAGUAAAAUCCUAGUAAGGAACUCGGCAAAUAUUUUUCUCGACUGUUUAUCAAAAACAUGCCUAAAGCUAUAAUUUUAGGUUAUCUCUGCUCAAUGAAAUUUAAAUAGCCGCAGUACUCUGACUGUGCAAAGGUAGCAUAAUCAAUUGGCUUAUAAUUGAAGUCUGGAAUGAAUGGGAAUACGGGUAUAAGCUGUCUUAUUAAGAUAUAUAAAAAUUUCUAAAUAAGUGAAAAUUCUUAUAAUUAGAAAAUAGACGAGAAGACCCUAGAAAUUUUUUAAAAAUUCUUAGUAUAUUUUGUUGGGGCGACACGGUAACAGAUAACUUACCUAAAAUAGAUAGGAAACUAUUUAGUUGAAUAAAUAAAUUACUCUAGGGAUAACAGCAUUAUAUAUAAAAGUUUGUGACCUCGAUGUUGGACUAGGGAUUGUUUUAUUUAGAAGAUAAUACAACAGGCUCUGUUCGAACUUCUUUCCCUACCUGAUCUGAGUUCAGACCGG